AUUGAACGCUGGCGGCAGGCCUAACACAUGCAAGUCGAGCGAGCCGCGGACGGGUGAGUAAUGCCUGGGAAUUGCCCAGUCGAGGGGUAUAACAGUUGGAAACUACUGCUAAUCGCGCAUACGAUUGGAUUGCCCAUGUGGGAUUAGCUAGUAGGUGGGGGAAUGGCUCACCAAGGCGACGAUCCCUAGCUGGUCUGAGAGGAUGAUCAGCCACACUGGAACUGAGACACGGUCCAGACUCCUCCGGGAGGCAGCAGUGGGGAAUAUUGCACAAUGGGGGAAACCCUGAUGCAGCCAUGCCGCGUGUAUGAAGAAGGCCUUCGGGUUGUAAAGCACUUUCAGCGAGGAGGCGUUACUCGCAGAAGAAGCACCGGCUAACUCCGUGCCAGCAGCCGCGGUAAUUC
rnacentral:rRNA from 1 species